GGCUCAGAUUGAACGCUGGCGGCAUGCCUUACACAUGCAAGUCGAACGGCAGCGCGGGAGCAAUCCUGGCGGCGAGUGGCGAACGGGUGAGUAAUACAUCGGAACGUGCCCAAUCGUGGGGGAUAACGCAGCGAAAGCUGUGCUAAUACCGCAUACGAUCUACGGAUGAAAGCAGGGGAUCGCAAGACCUUGCGCGAAUGGAGCGGCCGAUGGCAGAUUAGGUAGUUGGUGAGGUAAAGGCUCACCAAGCCUUCGAUCUGUAGCUGGUCUGAGAGGACGACCAGCCACACUGGGACUGAGACACGGCCCAGACUCCUACGGGAGGCAGCAGUGGGGAAUUUUGGACAAUGGGCGAAAGCCUGAUCCAGCCAUGCCGCGUGCAGGAUGAAGGCCUUCGGGUUGUAAACUGCUUUUGUACGGAACGAAACGGCCUUUUCUAAUAAAGAGGGCUAAU
rnacentral:rRNA from 1 species